AUGGUCCUGGGAGUUACUGGUGGAGCCCCUGGGGGGUUACUGGGGGGCACUGGGCGCUACCGGGAGUUACUGGGAGAAACUGGGAGGACUCUGGAGGUUACUGGGAGUCAAUGGGGGACAAACUGGGCAUUACUGGGAGUCACUGGUGGAGCCCCUGGGGGUUACUGGGAGUUACUGGUGGUGCUACUGGGAGUUACUGGGAGAAUCUGGGAGUUACUAGGGGACAAACUGGGAGUUACUGGGAGUUACUGGGUGUUACUGGGGGACAAACUGGGAGUUACUGGGAGUUACUGGGUGUUACUGGGGGACAAACUGGGAGUUACUGGGAGUUACUGGGUGUUACUGGGGGACAAACUGGGAGUUACUGGGAGUUACUGGGUGUUACUGGGGGACAAACUGGGAGUUACUGGGAGUUACUGGGUGUUACUGGGGGACAAACUGGGAGUUACUGGGAGUUACUGGGUGUUACUGGGGGACAAACUGGGAGUUACUGGGAGUUACUGGGUGUUACUGGGGGACAAACUGGGAGUUACUGGGAGUUACUGGGUGUUACUGGGGGACAAACUGGGAGUUACUGGGAGUUACUGGGUGUUACUGGGGGACAAACUGGGAGUUACUGGGAGUUACUGGGUGUUACUGGGGGACAAACUGGGAGUUACUGGGAGUUACUGGGAGUUACUGGGAGACAAACUGGGAGUUACUGGGAUCCCCCCCAAGGUCACCCAGGGGGGGGGGGGGGGGGGGGGGGGGGGGGGGGGGGGGGGGGGGGGGGGGGGGGGGGGGGGGGGGGGGGGGGGGGGGGGGGGGGGGGGGGGGGGGGGGGGGGGGGGGGGGGGGGGGGGGGGGGGGGGGGGGGGGGGGGGGGGGGGGGGGGGGGGGGGGGGGGGGGGGGGGGGGGGGGGGGGGGGGGGGGGGGUAUUUUUAACCCGGUGACGUCAUCGGGGGCGGCUCCCAGGCCCCGCCCCCUCCCAGUUUCACCAGUGAAGAACCAGUAACGGACCAGUAAGAGACCAGUAACGGACUGGGAAUGGCCCCGGGCCCUGCCCCCUCCCAGUUUCACCAGUGACAGACCAGUAAUGAACUGGGAAUGGCCCCAGGCCCCUCCCAGUUACACCAGUAACGGACCAGUAACAAACUGGGAACCCCAGGGGCUCCUCCCAGUGCUCCCAGUAACCUUCCCCAGUCCCACCAGUUGCCUCCCAGUCCAUCCCAGUAGAAAGCCGCUCCCUCCCAGUCCCUCCCAUUAACGUCCCCCAGUCCCUCCCAGUACAAAGCAGCUCUAUCCCAGUGCUCCCAGUAACCUCCUCCAAUCCAUCCCAGUAACAAAGCUCCUCUGUCCCAGUCCCUCCCAGUUACAUCUCCCAGUCCCUUCCAGUACAAAGCCUCUCCAUCCCAGUCCCUCCCAGUAACGUCCCCCAGUCCCUCCCAGUCCCAUCUCCCAGUCUGUCCCAGUCGGGGGGGGGGGGGGGGGGGGGGGGGGGGGGGGGGGGGGGGGGGGGGGGGGGGGGGGGGGGGGGGGGGGGGG
ensembl:lncRNA